UGAUGUGAGAGCUUCUGGCUGAGAGAUCACUCACUUCACUGAUCACCAGGGUUGAUUCAGCUGAUCUGGCUAGCUCCCUCACCACUCCAUGAGUGUCCUUCCUGAAGCUACGUGCUCCAUGGAAGAUGACCUUCCUGGAAUAGAGAUGGACUGGUCUUCAGUAGAGGGAAUCUGCGUAGCUGUGCUCCCCUCCAGACAAGCUCUCAAGAAAGCCCACGUGAAUACUGUGUUGCUUUGCUAUGCACACCACCCAGGUUAGAGCCAAACUUCCAUCACAUUGAGCGAAGCUUUGAUGCUGUGGUU
rnacentral:snRNA from 1 species